GCUCAGGACGAACGCUGGCGGCGCGCCUAACACAUGCAAGUCGAACGAGCGAGAGAGAGCUUGCUUUCUCGAGCGAGUGGCGAACGGGUGAGUAACGCGUGAGGAACCUGCCUCAAAGAGGGGGACAACAGUUGGAAACGACUGCUAAUACCGCAUAAGCCCACGGGUCGGCAUCGACCAGAGGGAAAAGGAGCAAUCCGCUUUGAGAUGGCCUCGCGUCCGAUUAGCUAGUUGGUGAGGUAACGGCCCACCAAGGCGACGAUCGGUAGCCGGACUGAGAGGUUGAACGGCCACAUUGGGACUGAGACACGGCCCAGACUCCUACGGGAGGCAGCAGUGGGGAAUAUUGCACAAUGGGGGAAACCCUGAUGCAGCGACGCCGCGUGGAGGAAGAAGGUCUUCGGAUUGUAAACUCCUGUUGUUGAGGAAGAUAAUGACGGUACUCAACAAGGAAGUGACGGCUAACUACGUGCCAGCAGCCGCGGUAAAACGUAGGUCACAAGCGUUGUCCGGAAUUACUGGGUGUAAAGGGAGCGCAGGCGGGCAGACAAGUUGGAAGUGAAAUCCAUGGGCUCAACCCAUGAACUGCUUUCAAAACUGUAUGUCUUGAGUAGUGCAGAGGUAGGCGGAAUUCCCGGUGUAGCGGUGGAAUGCGUAGAUAUCGGGAGGAACACCAGUGGCGAAGGCGGCCUACUGGGCACCAACUGACGCUGAGGCUCGAAAGUGUGGGUAGCAAACAGGAUUAGAUACCCUGGUAGUCCACACCGUAAACGAUGAUUACUAGGUGUUGGAGGAUUGACCCCUUCAGUGCCGCAGUUAACACAAUAAGUAAUCCACCUGGGGAGUACGACCGCAAGGUUGAAACUCAAAUGAAUUGACGGAAGGGC
rnacentral:rRNA from 1 species